AGGGCAGUAGCUCAGUAGUAGAGCUACCGAUUCAUAUGCGGGAAGAUCUGGGUUCGAUCCCCGGCUGCUUCC
rnacentral:tRNA from 1 species